GGUUCCGGUGCGCCCAGCUCCUUUUUCCAAGGAAUGUGAGGAGAAAGAACCCCACCAAGCCCCACCCCUCCCGCCCAUGGUUCACGCUCACUCGGGCGGGUGAACAUCUCCGGCUCGGCUGGCUUUUCGGCCCCUCGCUCCCCCUACGCUCAGCGCAAACGACCGCGCAUAUGCAUCGGCCCCCGGCCGGGAGUCACGAUCCCGAACGAGGGCCUGACCACCAAGGAAGAAGGGGCUUCCCG
rnacentral:ncRNA from 1 species